UAGAUGGAGUCACACACCCCAGUCUUCAUAUUCCUCCUCCUCUGGAUGUCUGGUGCUGAGGGAAACAUUGUGAUGAGCCAGUCUCCCAAAGCCAUGUCAACAUCUGUAGGAGACAGGAUCACCCUAAGUUGCAAGUCCAGUCAGAAUGUGGAUAACUAUGUAGCUUGGUACCAGCAGAAAUCAGGGCAGCCUCCUAAACUACUGAUCUACUGGGCAUCCAAUCGAUACACUGGGGUCCCUGAUCGCUUCACAGGCAGUGGAUCUGGGACAGAUCACACUCUCAGCAUCAGCAGUGUGCAGGCUGAAGACCUGACAGUUUUUUACUGUCAGCAGCAUGAUAGUAGUACUCCCACAGUGCUUCAGUGUUCAACACAAACAUUUUUGAAGGGCUCACCAGCUGCCUGCGCCACAAAGAGCCCUUGGCCUUCACACUUUCCCAUUCUGCCUGAGAUCUGCUAUGCAUGA